CCUACGGGCGGCAGCAGUGGGGAAUAUUGCACAAUGGGCGCAAGCCUGAUGCAGCCAUGCCGCGUGUGUGAAGAAGGCCUUCGGGUUGUAAAGCACUUUCAGCGGGGAGGAAGGCGGUGAGGUUAAUAACCUCAUCGAUUGACGUUACCCGCAGAAGAAGCACCGGCUAACCCCGUGCCAGCAGCCGCGGUAGUACGGAGGGUGCAAGCGUUAAUCGGAAUUACUGGGCGUAAAGCGCACGCAGGCGGUCUGUCAAGUCGGAUGUGAAAUCCCCGGGCUCAACCUGGGAACUGCAUUCGAAACUGGCAGGCUAGAGUCUUGUAGAGGGGGGUAGAAUUCCAGGUGUAGCGGUGAAAUGCGUAGAGAUCUGGAGGAAUACCGGUGGCGAAGGCGGCCCCCUGGACAAAGACUGACGCUCAGGUGCAAAAGCGUGGGGAGCAAACAGGAUUAGAUACCCGUGUAGUC
rnacentral:rRNA from 1 species